rnacentral:rRNA from 1 species
AGUGAACGCUGGCGGUAGGCCUAACACAUGCAAGUCGAACGGCAGCACAGGAGAGCUUGCUCUCUGGGUGGCGAGUGGCGGACAGGUGAGGAAUACAUCGGAAUCUACUCUGUCGUGGGGGAUAACGUAGGGAAACUUACGCUAAUACCGCAUACGACCUACGGGUGAAAGCAGGGGACCUUCGGGCCUUGCGCGAUUGAAUGAGCCGAUGUCGGAUUAGCUAGUUGGCGGGGUAAAGGCCCACCAAGGCGACGAUCCGUAGCUGGUCUGAGAGGAUGAUCAGCCACACUGGAACUGAGACACGGUCCAGACUCCUACGGGAGGCAGCAGUGGGGAAUAUUGGACAAUGGGCGCAAGCCUGAUCCAGCCAUACCGCGUGGGUGAAGAAGGCCUUCGGGUUGUAAAGCCCUUUUGUUGGGAAGGAAAUCCAGCUGGCUAAUACCCGGUUGGGAUGACGGUACCCAAAGAAUAAGCACCGGCUAACUUCGUGCCAGCCGCCGCAGUAA